AUUGAACGCUGGCGGCAGGCUUAACACCUGCAAGUCGAGCGAGAGGCGGACGGGUGAGUAAUGUCUGGGAAACUGCCUGAUGGAGGGGGCUAACUACUGGAAACGGUAGCUAAUACCGCAUACCAUCAGAUGUGCCCAGGUGGGAUUAGCUAGUAGUGGGGGUAAUGGCUCACCUGGGCGACGAUCCCUAGCUGGUCUGAGAGGAUGACCAGCCACACGUGAACUGCGACACGGGCCAGACUCCUACGGGAGGCAGCAGUGGGGAAGAUUGCACAAUGGGGGCAAGCCUGAUGCAGCCAUGCCGCGUGUGUGAAGAAGGCCUUCGGGUUGUAAAGCACUUUCAGCGAGGAGGCGUUACUCGCAGAAGAAGCACCGGCUAACUCCGUGCCAGCAGCCGCGGUAAUUC
rnacentral:rRNA from 1 species